rnacentral:rRNA from 1 species
UACGUAGGGCGCAAGCGUUGUCCGGAAUUAUUGGGCGUAAAGAGCUCGUAGGCGGUUUGUUACGUCCGCUGUGAAAUCCCAGGGCUUAACCCUGGACUUGCAGUGGAUACGGGCAGACUAGAGGCAGGUAGGGGAGAAUGGAAUUCCCGGUGUAGCGGUGAAAUGCGCAGAUAUCGGGAGGAACACCGGUGGCGAAGGCGGUUCUCUGGGCCUGACCUGACGCUGAGGAGCGAAAGCGUGGGGAGCGAACAGG